UACGUAGGGUGCGAGCGUUACUCGGAAUUACUGGGCGUAAAGCGUGCGCAGGCGGUUUUGUAAGCCAGAUGUGAAAUCCCCGGGCUUAACCUGGGAAUGGCAUUUGGGACUGCAAGGCUUGAGUUUGGCAGAGGAGACUGGAAUUCCUGGUGUAGCAGUGAAAUGCGUAGAUAUCAGGAGGAAUACCGAUGGCGAAGGCAGGUCUCUGGGCUAGAACUGACGCUCAUGCACGAAAGCGUGGGGAGCAAACAGG
rnacentral:rRNA from 1 species